rnacentral:rRNA from 2 species
UACGGAGGGUGCGAGCGUUAAUCGGAAUUACUGGGCGUAAAGCGCGCGUAGGCGGUUUGUUAAGUCAGCUGUGAAAGCCCCGGGCUCAACCUGGGAACUGCAGUUGAUACUGUCCGACUAGAGUACGAGAGAGGGAGGUAGAAUUCCAUGUGUAGCGGUGAAAUGCGUAGAUAUAUGGAGGAAUACCAGUGGCGAAGGCGGCCUCCUGGCUCGAUACUGACGCUGAGGUGCGAAAGCGUGGGGAUCAAACAGG